CGGUCCCGGCCGGAAUCGAACCGGCGCCCAUCCGACCGACAAUCGGACGCUCUACCACUGAGCUACGGGACC
rnacentral:tRNA from 1 species